rnacentral:rRNA from 1 species
CAAUAGCGUAUAUUAAAGUUGUUGCAGUUAAAAAGCUCGUAGUUGGAUUUCUGGAUGGAGCGACCGGUCGGGCAUUAAUUUGUCUGCACUGGAGUCGGUUCCGUCCAUCCUCUUGGAAAGUGCGUGGGGCAUUAAGUUGUCUGGCGUAUGAUCCAAGUCGUUUACUGUGAAAAAAUUAGAGUGUUUAAAGCAGGCCUUCGCCUUGAAUACAUUAGCAUGGAAUAAUAAGAUAGGACUUUGGUCUAUUUUGUUGGUUUGCAGACCGAAGUAAUGAUUAAUAGGGAUAGUCGGGGGUAUUUAUAUUCCGAUGUCAGAGGUGAAAUUCUUAGAUUCGUUGAGGACCAACCACUGCGAAAGCAUUUGUCAAGGAUGUCUCCAUUAA